rnacentral:misc_RNA from 1 species
GAUGAGAUUCUUAUUGAAGCCAGUAACUCUCUCACAAUAGCUCACAAAUAGCUCAACUAGCAGAGCCCAAGGUGGAUUUAGAAGCACCUAUACAAAGGCACCAACAUAGAGCACUAAAACACAAAGUAACUUUCAGGGUUGCACUUCCAUCUCCAAAGGUGAUGUCGGCGAGGAACCACCGACACAACACAACUUAGAGGAUUGCACUUCCCUCUCCAAAG